GGGGAAGCGCAGAGCAGGAAUGGCAGGAGAGCGGUGAGAGACCUCCGUCCCAGUGAGGAUGACAAGUUCUAACUCAGGAAAUGAAUAGAUGCUGUUGCGAUUGAAGAAAAAUCUACGCUGGAGGCAGACAGGCUGGCAGAUAAGGAGACUGAAGCAUCUAGAGUUGGAGCAAUUUCCACAAGAUCACAGAUGAGAAAACCAGGGGAAGCAGAGGUAAGAACCUGUUCAAGAAGGCACAUCUCAGAUGUGGAAGAACCAUGAUUCAACUCGAGUCUGUCUGCUUCCCAAGACUAUGGUAUUUAAACAGCUUAUAAUGAAAAUUCCUUCUAUAGCUCCCCAUAAAAGGGCACACAGUUCUUUCUUA
rnacentral:lncRNA from 1 species